rnacentral:lncRNA from 1 species
CCCCUUUUACCUUCAAGACAGAUAGAUGACAACUUAAGAGCUGAGAAGAUUAAUCAGCUUCGAAAAAAUAACGAUACGACAUGUGCUAGGAGUAGUAUUUGGCAUAUACUGGCCAAUUUGUGAUUGCAAAUACUAAUUUACAUGCUGACCAUGAAAGAGCUCCAAAGUUUAAUCAGCUUCCUAACUUAAUUGGUGACAGAUAUAUAUGACAGGUAGUACCAGAAUGUCACUUACUGGUUAAUACGGAGUAAUCGAUAGAAGGCAUGCCAUGUACAGUACUAAUUGACAUACUGACUUUAUUCGCCACACUUUGCAGCUUGCAAACACGGGUCUACUCAAAGUACAAAACCCAAAACCCAUGAACAUAGUACCAAGUCACAGUUACAACAGUAAAUAACAGGAGCACCACCACCACAACCUCCCUUCUUUUCCCUAAAUAAAAACUAUGCAGAUCCUAAGUAAACAAGGUACUACUAGAGGAUCUAUGUAGUUUUCGUUAGGUGGGCAUGCAGUGAACACACUCCUCACAUCAGUAACGCAGCAGCUAGGAGCUCGUCGACCUUAAUUAACUUGGCACGAUGGAGCUAGCUAGAAUGGGUAGUCCAUGGCAGGGAGCAUGCCGGGGACGCCAAGCAANNNNNN